UACAGAGGGGGCAAGCGUUAUUCGGAAUUAUUGGGCGUAAAGGGCGCGUAGGCGGCCUGGCAAGUGGAAGGUGAAAUCCCUCGGCUUAACCGAGGAACUGCCCUCCAAACUGCUUGGCUUGAGUCCGGGAGAGGUGAGUGGAAUUCCCAGUGUAGCGGUGAAAUGCGUAGAUAUUGGGAGGAACACCAGUGGCGAAGGCGGCUCACUGGACCGGAACUGACGCUGAUGCGCGACAGCAUGGGGAGCAAACAGG
rnacentral:rRNA from 1 species